rnacentral:tRNA from 1 species
UGGAGUGUGGCUAACUGGUAGAGCUCAAGCUUAAUGUGCUUGAGACUCUGGGUUAAAUCCCAGAACCAA